UUUUUGCCAACGAAGACAAACAGGGAGAUGAAGAUGAAACACAGAGACAUAAAAGAGUCGCUUAGGGAAAUGAUAAAGAGAAGGGAGAAGGCAAUUAAAGCAGGGGAAGAGAGCAAUGAGGACUUGUUGGACAUACUUGUGGAAUCCAAUAUCAGAGAAAUGGAAGCAAAGAAUAUGGGGAUGAGCAUUGAGGAUGUGAUUGAGGAAUGCAAGCUGUUUUACUUUGCUGGCCAAGAGACCACUUCGGUCUUACUGGUGUGGACUAUGGUUUUAUUAGCAAGGUAUCCCGAUUGGCAAAGUAAAGCAAGAGAGGAGGUUUUGCAUGUUUUGGGUGACAAUAAACCUGAUGCUGAUGGCCUUAAUCGUCUCAAAGUUGUAAGUCCCUAGCAUGUCUUUUGAAGGUCCGAUCAAUGAGGUCGACAACUCAAAAACUUUGUUUCUUUUUUCGCUAAUUCUACAGGUAACGAUGAUAUUGUACGAGGUUCUAAGGCUGUACCCACCGGUGGUUGAGCUAGGACGUUCCGUUCCAAAAGAAAUAAAACUGGGGAAUUUGUUGUUACCAGUAGGAACAGAAGUUUCGGUUCCGAUCCUGCAGAUCCACCAUGACAAAGAUCUUUGGGGUAACGACGCACGGGAAUUUAAGCCAGAGCGGUUCGCGGAAGGGGUUUCCAAAGCAACAAAGAGUCAAGUCACGUUUCUGCCAUUCGGAUGGGGUCCUAGGAUCUGUAUUGGCCAAAAUUUUGCUUUGAUGGAAGCCAAAAUGGCGAUGGCUAUGAUUCUCCAACGCUUCUGGUUCGAGCUUUCCCCUUCCUAUGCUCACUCUCCUUACAGCAGGGGAACUCUUCGUCCACAGCAUGGUGCACAGAUAAUUUUACAUAAACUUGGCUGUAAUUGAAUUGUUAUGUAAACAAAUCUUUGUGAAAACAUAGCGUUUUAGUGUAUCGUCAAAGUCCGGUGUCUGUAAUGGUACAAAUUCGAUGCAUGAAUAGUAAAUUUUGAGAUGUUUGGUGAAGUCCGAAAUAAUAUGCAGAAAUUGAGCGUCUAUGGUGGACAUAGUUGAGGGACUAAUGUGGUAAUUAUCAAUCAAAUAAUUCGGUACAAAGACUUGUAUGGAAAUUAAAGCAGGGGGAGUUGAAAAUGACUACUCUGCUUUGGGCAUCAAUUUAGAAAGAUUUAAAGUACAACUGUGUUAUCAGUUAAGGGAUUUGUUUUAAAGAGGGAAUGACAAUUAAACCUCAUGGUUUAUUUGUGCAAGGGAACCGAUGAUGGGAUGAUUAUUCUUAGUGGUAAAAAAAACCAUUAUGGAGGUUAUUACACUUGUUAUCAUCAGCUUAAAAUUCGAAUGGGUUCAAGUCGGAUUAUAUCGAGCUUGUAAGAUGAGUUCACGGACCAAGUUUGCAUAAUAAAAUACCUAAAUGAAAAAAAAUUCUAUUUUAGAGGGACGAGAGCCCCUAUCAACUCCCGGCUCAGCCACUAAACAAUACCUAUAUCAUAUAAAUAAAUACCACCAUCUAAAAGACUCAAAGAAAAACACUCAACAAAGGAUAAAUAGAUAGAUGUUGGAUAAGUGUCCAAAAUAUGAUUUAAGUGAAGAUACAUGUGGUAGGUGUUACGGAAAUGUGAAGACAAGAAUCCCACUAACGUAUGGGAUGUGUGCAGUUGAAUGUAGGGAGCAAAAAGAGGAGUGAAUCAUUUUGGUAACAUUUGGACAAGAAACAUAAUGAACAAAAUGGAAGGAGAGGAAGCUAGUAAAAGAAUUUUUUUGGGUCAUAUAAUUUGUUCAUUUUGGAGUUGAAUUAUAAUUUUUUUAUAUAUUAUUUUAAAAUUUUAAGGAGUUAAAACAAAAUUAUUUUAUUUUCAGAUGGUCAAAGUAGAGGUGAUAAUGGGUUGGGCUAUUCGGCCCGGCCUGACGAUUCACUCGAAAAAUAGGAGGGUUUAGGUAAAAAUAUAGGCUCGAAAUAGGGAUUUGAGCAAAAAAAGAGUCCCGUUUAGAAAAUGGGCCAGGCCUCGGGUAAAAUUUUUUGGGCCCAAGCCUGACCUGAAUUAUAUAUUAAAUAUAUUUUUUAAUUUUUAAUCAAAUAUACUUUUUUUUAUUAAUUUGGUUAUUAUUUUAGUUCUAAUUUGUUUCAAUUUUAAUAUAACCACUUUUUAUUAUAUUUUCAAUUUGUGUAUUGUUUUAAGAAUUGUUUUAGUCUCAUUUUUUUAUUUAUUUUUUGUUUUAAUAAUUGUUUUAAAAAUUUUUAUUUAAUGAAAUAAGCUAAAAAAAUUAAUAUGGGCUUGGCCAGGCCAGGCUCGGGCCUAGUAAUUUUCUUUUGGGCCGGACUUAGAUAAAAUUUUAAGCCCAUAUUUUAAAUUGGGUCCUAACCUAAAAAAUGAACCUAAAAUUUUAUAUGGGCCCGACUUGGCCCUUGAUUACCUUUAGGUCAGAGCUAUCCUCGUUUUGCAUUUCUUUGAGAUUCAGCCUUAUCUACUGUGAUUGCCCACUCAAUUGAGGGUUGAGUAGAAAGAUUUGGUGAAGCAAGCUAAGCUAUCAAUCAAGGUUUGCAUAAUUAUUUAAAUGUAAUUCUAAUAUUAAAAUAAUUUUUUUAUUAAUAUAGUAUCAACAAGCAUUAAAUGUAAUGAUCAUAUACUAUUACAUUUUAAAGAAGAGAAAACAUGUUUGAACUUUAAAAACCACGUUACUAAAAACAUUAUCACAAACCUUGAAAUAUAAAAAAUAAUUUUUUUAAUAUAAUAAAAAAUUAAUUUUAAACCCGAGCUGAAUAAAAUUCUAAUUUUAGUUAAUGAUACGAACAACAAAUCAAUAUUCUAAGCCCGAGCCCUGCUCAUUUUUUUAAUAAACACCAAAAAUUUAUUUUGAAAAUAAAAAAUAAAAAAAAUAUUUUAAAAAUAUUUUAAAAAUAAAAAAAAUUAAAAAUAAAUAUUUAUUAUAUAUUCAGGCCGGGCCGGGCUAGCCUUGGGCUAAAAAAAUGGUGCCCGAGGCCCGGCCCAUUUUCUAAAUAGGCCUCAUUUUUUGUCCAAACCCAUAUUUUGGGCCUAUAUUUUUACCCGAACCUCUCAUAUUUUGGGCGGACCGUCGGGCCGGACCGGGCCGCCCGGCCAUGAACACCUCUAGGGCAAAGUCACUCAAUGAAUGCAUGGAAAGAAAUAUUGCAACUUGGUGACAGCUUUUGUUGGAGUUAUAUGCUUUUUUUUACAUAGUGGAACUUUCGGUGGAUUUUCAAGUUUCAUGAACUUUAUACCCUAGGCUUUACGUGAAAAAAAUCAUUGGACUUAAAAGUCUACCAAAAGUUUCACUAUAAUAAAUAAAUAAAUAAAUAACAUUGCUACAAGACUACAACAUAAAGUUACAAUAAGAGCUUAUAACUCAACAAAGGCUAUCAAUAAAUAAUCUCAAGCAAGCUAAAGAGAAAUGUUGAGAGUACCACUCAAAUAGUGAUUGACUUUAAAAAUUGAAAACCCGAAGUUAUUGUUGACACCAUUUUUUGGAUGAAAAUGUGUCGACUUGGGUUUUGAAAAUGAAAACGAAAACGAGAGUCGCCACCAAUCCUUUUUGAUAAGGUGUGACUGGGUCACCUUGAAAAGUGGUUGUUUUUAAUAAACGAUUUGAUUUUAUUAAAACAACAGUUUUGGUCCACGAAAUUCAGAAAAAUGAGUUCGGGAGUCGGUUACGCACGAGGAAGGAUUAGCACCCUCGAUACGCCCAAAAUUGGUACCUAGUUGAUUACUUAAUGUCUUAAUGUCGAAAAUUGAAAACUUUGGAGAAUUUUAAACAUACGAUCCUUGUAUUAAAACGUUAAAAAUUUUCAAGAAAAUGGGAUAUUUCACGUUAUUCGAUAAAGAGAAUCAUAUCCUAGUAAGUUAGGACACAAUAUCUCGAAUUUCCGAUAUCAUUUAAAACUUGAGUUUGAAAAGAUUCGUGUAAUAAAGUUUAAAAUAAUAUUCAAUUGUUUAAAUCAAAUGAAGAAAUCGCAACCCAAUACGUUAGGGCACAAUUUCUCAAAAUAUUAAACAUUGAAUAUUGCAUUUAUUUCGAAAAAUCCUCAUCUCGAGAAAACGUGUCACAUCCAAUGCAUUAGAAUACAACGUAUUGAAUUCUCGAUAACGAGCUUUUUCUCAUUUUUUAAAAGAGUAAUCUCGAUUAUUUAGGUUCAACGAAGAAAAUCAAAACCCAAUACGUUAGGGCUCGAUUUUCUCAAAGAUUCCAAAUACCGAGUAUUACUUAUAUUUUUAAAAUUUCUUUUUUGAAAUCCGAGUAAAAAUGAAUGCAAAAUAAUAAAUGAUGACAAUGUAAAUAAAAUGAUACAAGCAAAACAAUAAACAAUAAAAAUAAUCAUACGGGCAAGGUAACAAAUAAUUAGGAACUAAAGAAAGAGAACAAACAAUAAUAAACAUGCAAAUAAAUGAACAAAAUUAACAACAUGAUGCAAAUAUGAAAGAUAUAUAAGCACAUAUAUAUACAUAAAAUAAUGAGAAUAUGAAAAAAUGUGUGUAAUUGGACAUGUUUCGGAAUUAUUAUACAUUUAAAAAUCAUGUAAAUGUGUGUACAUACAUAUAUACAUAUAUAAUAAUCAUUAAAUAUAUAAAAAUACAUAUGUGUAGGUAUAUAUGAGUCAUAAAAUGUAAAGAAUAUAUACAAGAUAUAUUUUGAACGUAUAAAGUAUAUGUAAAUGUAUAUAUAUAAUAAAGGUGUAUGAAAGCAUAUUUUAUAUACGUGUAUUUAUAAAAUGUAUAUAAAUGUAUAUUGAUUUACCAAUACAUAUGGAUUUAUAAUUAUAGAAUAUAUAUAAAAUAUUUACAUAUAUACGUUUAUGCAUAUAUAAAAGUAAGUUAUUAUAAAAUAUGAGCAAGCAGAAUACAUAAAUAUAUAUACAUAAAAUAAAAAUGAAGAUGAAAAUAAUAUAAAACUACUUAAUAUAUUAAUAUAAUAGUAACAAAUUAAAAAAACAGAAAAUAAAGCUAAUAAUAAUUAAUAAUAGUAGUAAUAAUUAUAGCAGCAAUGAUAAUGAUAAUAAUAAUAACACUAAAAAAAUUAAUUAAAUAAUAAAAUUGCUAAAAAGGGAUUAAAUCGAAAUAAAAACAUAAAUACUGGGCGAUUUUGAAAUAAAAAACGGGAAGGACCGAAUUGCAACGCGCGUUGAAAAGGAAAGGGCCAAAACUGCAAAUAAACCACAGCCCCAAAACGCAGCGUUGAAAUGGACCAAGUCGAAAUAAAAAUAAAAUUGCAGGGGCUAAAUUAAAAAUAAGAGAAAAUAACGAAAAAUGAUCAAAUUGUAAUACGCUGCAAAAUCAGGGGGACUGCACGCGCAAAUAGCCCAAAAACUGAAAACACGCGGAUCCUCCGGGUCGGGUCGGGUCGGGUCAGGUCGACGUGCGGAUCCCCUUUGCUAAAACGGCGUCGUUUCAUGUUUAAUAUAAAUACUAAAAAAAGCUAAAAAAAACAGUUUCAUCUUUUUUUAAAAAAAACAGAGAGAAAACUCUCUCUUUUUCCCUCAGGUCCGGCCAUGGUCCGGCUUGGGAUUUCCGACGAGUCUCCGCCGCAAAGCCACCGUGUGUGGCGGCCGGAGGUUCAAAAUCAGACCUUUUUGGUCCUUUUUUAAAGUCCAUGGCCUCCAAGCCACAGAUCCGGGGCUGAAUCUCCUGAAUCGAAAGCCGAAGACCCAAAAAAUGGGGUGAAAUCCUUCGCCUUCCUCCCCCUUCCGGCGCUGCGCAGGUAAGGUUUUUUUUAACUCCUUUUUUACUAUCUUUAUUUAUAUAUAUACAUGAAGAGAAAAGAGAGCAAAAUAAAUAAAUAAAUAAAAACUUCAAAACUGAAGAGAAAAAGACCUUGAAUCUGCCUUAUUUAUUUUCUUUCGGUUGAAUCUGUUUUUGUUUGUUACAAAAGUUUCCAGGGAAGAGAAAAAAAAAGAGAGUUACAUGCUUGGCUUUUAUAGCCGAUAUUAAUUUCUAUUUUUUGUUUUCUUUUUCCUUUCUUUUCUUUGGCUGUUGCGUGUUUGCUUCCUUAUUGCAGGGUGAUUGACGGGAGUGGUUGGCGACAGAGUCGGUGGCCACUUGCACUGAUGAAGCAGCGGUGGCGGCGCUAGGGUAGGCUAGGGACGGCGGCAGUACUAGGGUUUCAGAAAACUGAAACCCUAGUUUGACAAAUUGGUUUCGGGCCUGUUGGGCUUUAAAUUAUGGGCUUUGUAAUUGGGUUUUGGGUUUAGGUGAUUUGGGUUUAGGUGGUAUGGGCCCGGGUCAAAUUUUGGGUAAUGGGAUUGGGGCAAAAUUGGGUUGUACAGUUAUAAUAUCCCAAACGAAAUCAAACUAUAAACAUUAAAUUUUUCGAGUCUUCUAGAUACUGUAAAAAAUUCAGCUCCAACGGACACCAAAUGAACCUAUGAUCGAAGAAAAUACGAAGACUAGUCUGGCUAAAUCAAUCUGCCAAACUUACUUUUUAUCUUAUCUUUAAUUUGCUGUGAAAUUCAAAACUACGUGUAAUACUCAAUUUAUGCUCGACCCAUUUUGUUAAAACAAAUAAAAAAGAAAAGAAAAACAAAAUAUUUAAAUUUAGCCCAAAUGUCCAUUUACACAGCCCAAUUACAAUUGCAAAUAAAAAAAACUAAAACUAAACCCGAUCCUAAGCAUCAGCCCAAAUUCGACCCAUGCCCAAAACGAAUUCAGAUGCAGAAACCCUAGCCCAGCCUUAAUGCAAGCAAAAGUCGAAAGCCCUAAUAGUUGGUGCGCCGCUCCUGUAACAGCCCGAUUUUGGGCCUAGUCGGAACAGUGGUUUUGGGACCACAAAUCCGACGAGAAAAAAAUGUAAUGGCCCGAAUUUUCAGAGGUGUCAGAACGGUGAUUCGAGAUCACUAAAUUCGACAAAUGGGUAGAAAAUAUUAUUAAUUUAGUAAGUAUAAGUUAAAUGUGAAGUUAGGAAAAUUUUUGAAAUGGUGAAUAGUACACUAGAAAUAAAUAUUAAAAUAAUUAGAAUCGAAAAUGAGGUAUCGAGACCUCGGGGAUUUUAAACCGAGCCAUAAAUAUUUUUAUAAAUAUUUAUGUAGUCUUAAAAAGUUAGUAUUAAAGUUUCGUUAAGAAAUUUUAAAGUUCCGAUAAUUAAUUGAACAAAAAGGACUAAAUUGUAACAAAUACAAAAUUAUGAGAAAUGAUUAAAUAGUUUAAAUGAUAAAAGGAAGAGGGCUUAAAAGGUAAAUAGACCCAAGGUCUAUUUGGGCUGCACGGCAAAGGCAUGAAAUCAGCAACAAAGUAAGGAGAAUUAAGGGCAAAAUUGGAAUAUUGCAAAAUUUACUUAAUAAAGUUAGGACCAAAGUGGAAUUAUCUAGAUUUCUCUUUAUUUUUCUGCAUUAUCAUCAGCAUAAACACCAUAGAAGGGUUUUCUUAAGCUGGUUCUUCCUAUUUUUACUGCAGGUAAGUUCAAUUCUUGAUUAUUUCUUGAAAAUUUUGUGUUUUUGUGACUUUUACAACUAGGCCCACUUAUUGUAUUCAUUAGUUUUUGAUUCUAUGAAAGAAGUUGAAAGUUGCUAUGAAUACAUGCUGGAAGUAUAUGAUGAUUUAGCAUGGAAUUAGAGCUUUAAAUUGUUCAUAUGCUGAUUUAUUGAAAGAAUUGAAUAGAAAGUGAAUGUUUGGGACCUAAUAGUAAAAGAGUUUGAAGAUAGAGUUAUAUGUGGAAAUUCUGAAUUUCAAUAGUUGUGAAACAACUUAUAAUGUCUAGGUUAAGUAUUAAUUGAGAAAAUUAAAUUAAUUGAGGGGUUAAUUGAGAAAGGACCGAAUUGUAUAAACUGUGAAAUUUGGGGCAAAAAGGAAAUCAACAUUUUACACUAAAGCAGUUUUGGACAGCAGCAGUAGUAUAACUUUGAAAAAUCACCAAAAAUUUUGAGAAUUGAAUUAGAGGGUGAAUAAAAUAUAAAAUUAAAGCUCCUUGAAUCUAGUUUCUCAUAGAAGAAACGGUGUAAGCAAUGGAAUUGUAAAUCAUGAGAUAUAAUAAAUUUUGUGAGACAAUGUCAUAAUGAUUUCGGGUUCCCCUAUUCUGACUUUGGAAAAUCAUCAAAAAAUUAAGAAAAAUAUGAGUUAUAAUUUAUAUGAUUACAAUCCUUAAUGAGUCUAUUUUCAAAGAAAAUAAACGGAAAUAUCAUCCAAAUUCUGUACAAUUAUAUAAUUCAUUUUUAGUGAAGAGUGGUCGAAACUGUCAGACAGCGAAAUAGGGGGAACUUUAAAGAAUAAACUGUACUAUUUGGCUGAACCAAAAAUUCUGAAAAUUUUAUGGUAAGAAGGUAUGUGAGUCUAGUUUUAAGGAAAAUUAACGGAUCUUAAUUUAGAGCUCUGUAGCUCUAGAUAAAAAUAAUUUAGUGACUCUGACUCAGAUAAAUAGCUUUGAAUGUACAUGUGAGUGAAUAGUGAAAUUAUAGCUAGUGUUGUUUAAGUGUGUUAUACACAUUAAGGAUAUGGAAUGGAGAGGAGGAGGAGGAGGAAAAAUUGGGAAAUAUAUGAAUGAUUUGUGUAUAAUUGGUCAUAUGCUUAAUUAUAAUUGAUAAACGAUGAAAUAGAAAUGAUGCAUAUAUUUGUGCAGUAUUGGUCAUGGUUUAAGCUCAUGUGGGAAAAUAAAGUUUAUAGUACGUGUGUAUUAUAUUUUUGGUAUAUGAUUUGGCAUUAAGUAAUGUCGUGAAUGGAUAUUGAAUUAACACAUGUUGGAAAGUUUGAUAUAUGAAUAAAUAUUGUGAUCAUGAAAGAGUGUUACAGCUCCUGCCUUCAGCACGCGUCGAGCCUCCGCGCCAAAUCCACGUGAGCCUCCGUACACUCCAACUAGCCUCCGUACCUGCAACAAACAAAAGUAGACAAAACAACAGCAAAGGAUAGGAAGAAAAGGCAGUAAAUAGUGAAGAUUUUUCUGUAAUUUUCUUUGGAUUUCAUUAUGUAUUUUCGGCUAUAAAAGAGCCAUUAGGAAUAUUUGUAAAGGGUUUUUUUUUUACCCUCACACACAAAGAGAAUAUACACGCAUACAAGAUCAAUAUAGAGAAAGAAAUAAAAAUAAAUAAAUACAAAGAAUAGAAAAUCAAGUUUCGAAGGUGAUUCUUUGAAAAAUCCUUUUCGUUUUUCUCAUUUUUCCUUUUUCCUGGAUCUUUUGUUCAUUUCAAGUAAAAAAAGUAUAGAAAGGAAACAAGUUUAGAGGAAGGAGGUUUACCUGGACGCCGGACCUCGCUCGCCUCGUCGAAAUCGAAGGCUGAGAGGGGAUAAAUCGGUUUUGCGGCAGAAGGAAAGGGGGGCUAGGGUUCUUGUUUUAACUUUUUUAAAAAAAAUAGAAAAGGUUGCUAAUUAGGUUUUAAUGGGGGAUUUAUGUGUGUUAAAAAAACGACGUCGUUUAGCGACCUUUGACCCGUGCGGUGACCCGACCCGAGGAAAGGAUCUGCGCGUUUUGGGUCUGAUGGGUUUAUUGCGCAACAAGCCCUUCCGCAUUUGUUUUUCGUUUCAAUUCGGUUUUUAUUUGUUUUUUAAUUGUUUUCUCAUAUUUAGUUCCAAUUUCAAUUGGGUCCAUGAUUAAACGACAUCGUUUUCAUUGAUUGGGUUUGAAGGCCUGGUUUUGUGCGUCUAAAUUGCAGCAAUGGUCCCCCUGAUGUGCAAUAGUUCUCGAUUUAGUCGUCUCCACACUUAUUUCAAAGUCGUCCUUGAGAUUUUGUUUUAUUUUUGAAAUUGUCCUUGUCUUCUUUUAAUUUAUAAUGAUAUUAUUAUUAUUGUUGUUGUUAUUAUUACUAUUAAUAUGGGUAUUGUUAUCAUGUUAGUUUAUAUCUAUUUAUUUACUUUUAUUUUAUUAUGUAUUAUUAUAUAAUGCUUUUAUCAUGUAUCAUUUUAUAUAUUUUCUAUGUUAAUCUAAUAUGAUAUAUAUAUAUAUAUGUAUUUUUGUGAUCUUAUUUUAUAAUACUUUUUUAACCCAUUUAUAUGCCUUUAUGUUUUAAAGAUUUAUAAUAUUUUGUGCAAAACUAUUAUAUAUAUAUAUAGAUAUACAAUUUAUAUUAGACCAUUUUUAUCGUACAUAUACGUAUAUAUAAUUUAUAUUUUGAAACUCUAUUUUAUUAUAUUUUAUGCCUCUAUAUACAUCAUUAUAUGUUUAUUAUUCUUUAUAUUAAACCUGCCAUUUCACUUAUAUAUUUUUAAAACCAAUGUGUAUUAUUCUUUCUUCUUUGUUAUUUUUUAUCUCUUAAAAUAGAUUGAUAAUUCAUUUAAUUUUUGAAUGUUGUAUGACCGAGAUUAUCGUUGCCAUUCUUGUCCAAAUUUAUCCAUUGCUUGUUCAUAUUAUUUGAUAAUUUAUCGCUCACUAGCAUGUAUCGUAAUUUACGAAUUAUCAUUUUGAAUUAUGUACUACCAUUCAAUCGCAUUACAUUUGUUUGGAAAACAUCGAAAUCGUUUUGCACAUAAACCUUCAAAAUGCUUGGUAUCCAAAAUUCUCGAGAGGAUUGUGCCCUAAUUUAUUGGGCUUCAAUUCCCCUUUUUGAUUUUAAAUAACCGAAUACCCCUUUUUCAAUUUGAACAUAGAAAUUCCAAAAUAAAAAAAAACUCAUUCUCGGGAAUUUGAUGCGUUGUGUCCUAACGUAUUGUAUAUGACAUAUUUUUCUCGAGACGAGGAUUUUUCUAACAAAUAAAAAUAAAGGCAAUAUUCGAUAUUUAGGAAUUUUGUGAAAUCGAACCCUAACUUACUGGGUUUUGAUUUUUUCAUUUGACCCAAGUAGGAUAUCCUUCACAAAUGCACAGAUUUUAAAAAAUCAAAAGAUAAACUUAAUUUCGAGGAUUUAAAAUGUUACACUCUGACUUACUGAGUGUGUCAAUUUAUUUCUUUGAAAUAAGUGAGUCUUAUCAUCCAAUUUAUUUUAUUCAAAUUUUCUUUUCCAAGGAUCGUAUUUUAAAAUUUUUUCAAAAUUUCGACAUUAAGACAUUAAGCAAUCAAUUCAGUACCAAUUUUGGGCGUCACGAGGGUGCUAACUCUUCCUCGUGCGUAAUCGACUCCCGAACCAGUUUUCUCAAAAUUCACAGACCUAAAAUUAUUUUCAAGGUGAUCCGAUCACACCACAAUAAAAGAUCAGUGGUGACUCCCAUUCCUAUUUUUAAAAGUCGAUUCCUGUUUUUCAUAUAUAAAAAAAUGGUUUCGACACUACGGUUUUGUUUGUUUCCCUUAGAACAACUUUCAAAAAGUUAAUUUUGAAAAAUGGAUUGAAUUUUCAAAAUAGAUGAUAUUUUUUUGUGUUAAAAUUUUAUUCGUUGUUUGAAAAAAAAAUUUAAAUCAUUUUCUUAGAAUUAUUUUUAGUGAAACAAAUAUAUCAUAAAUAUAUUUGUUAUAAAAUAUUAUAUUAAUAUUUUCUUUUAACAAUUAAAAUAUAUUUUGUGAUAAGGUAAUAUUUUAUAAUAAUUAAUAUCAUAUAUACUUAAUAAUAAAUCAUGUCUAAUUAAAAUUUAAUUUCAAUUAAAUAUAUUAAUAAAGCUACAUUUAAUCAUAUUUUAUAUAAUUAAAAUAUUAAUAUAAAUAUUUUUCAAUAAUAUAUUAAAGAAUAUUUAAAAUUUAAAUUUAUUAUUACUAAGAUUAAUUAUUAAAACAAAAAUGUAAUAUUAAAUAAUUUAUCCAAUGAUAAGUUAUAUUAAUAAUUUAUUAUAUUAUUAAAUAUAAAUAAUUAAAUAUGUAUGUUUAAUAAUAUUAUGUUAUAAUAUUUAUUACUAAUAUUUUAAUAUUUUUAAACAACCAUGUUUUAAAGAUGGUGGUGAUGGUGAUGGUGCAGGCCCCCUUGUUAAAAUUACAAUAUUUUUAAGUGGGAUGCAUGUAAUAUAUUGUUAGGGUUUUAGAGUAUGUGGUCUUUAAAAGGGUUAAAUUAUAUAUUUAUAUAAUAUGAUUAUUGUUUAUAAACAUAAUAUUGUAGAUAAGUUUAUAUGUAUGUCAAUAUGUAUCCUACUCUAAGGUUAAUAUGUAUUUUUUAGAUGUGGGUUUACCUAUAUAAUAGUAUGAAUCCAUCAUGUGGUCUCAUGAAAUAUACAAACACAUAUCGUGCGAACACAAAGUACGAACAAUAAAAAAUACAAAUCAAGACCCAAUUGAAUAAUUGAAUAACGGAUAGGUAAUAAUGAAUAUCAUAACAUUUACUAUCCCCUCUUUUCUAGUGAGUUAUUGUUUAUGAUAAAUUUGCAACAAAUGUUUUUAUCAUUAUUUUGUUGGUAAAUGAUAAUAAGAUUAAACAUUACUUUCUUAAGCUCCUUCAAUUCUUUGGACGUUAGCGAGUAAACUUGAGCUUCAGCAUUCCACAAACACCUUAAUUUGAAGACACAGUUCUCUCAUACUAAAAACGACAUGGACGUUUACCUUGUAAUUAGAGAUUUGGGCUCAUUGUUGGGUUAUUAAUGAUACGGGGAUGGAGAGCUUUAAACUGGGUAUGGUUGGCCCCAAAGAGGCUCGAAACGUGCUUGAGACUAGAGGUGAUCAAGGGCCGGGUUAGGCCCAGUCUAGAAAAAAAAUUAGGCCCAUUUUUUAGAUUUGAACUCGGCUCGGCUCAAAAUAUAAGCUUAAAAAUUUGUCUAAGUUCAGUCCGAAAGAAAAUUGUUAAGCCCAAGCUCGACCCAUAUUAAAUUUUACAACACCAAAAAAGUAUAUUUAAAUAAAAAUAAAAUAUAUAUAUUUAAUAUAUAAUUCGGGCCGAGCUGAACUCGGGCCAAAAAAGUUUUACUCGGGGCUGGUCCGUUUUCUAAACAGACUUCGUUUUUUUUGCCAAAAUCCAUAUUUUUACCCGAAUCUUCCUAUUUUUUGGGGUGUGCCGUCGGGCCGAACUGGGUAACCGAACCAAUGAUCACCUCUGUAAUCACUGAAUUUUGUCCGGGAAUAACUUUCGUUAAAAAAAUUUUAAAAUUAAAAAAAAAUUAACUUUUUUGCUUUUUGACCCCUAAACUUUUCUAAAAUUUCAUUUUAACCCCUAAACUUUCUCAAAAUUACAGUUCAACCCCUAAACUUUUCUAAAUUACAUUUUGACCCCUAAAAUUUCUUAAAAUUACAUUUGGACCCUUACACUUUCUCAAAAUUACGUUUCGGCCCCAAAAUUUUUGCUACAUUUACAAAUUGGUCCUUCUGUCAGAAAAUCCCCAAUAAUCCGGCGGAUUUCGUGCACCUGCCCCACUAUUUCCGGCAGCCGGCCUAGGGCAUGGCCUUCCCCACCUGCUACCUGCAAACAAGAAGCAAAAUCAACUAUAAAAAGGAGUUUAAACUCCAAAAAUCGGACCCCCACCCACGAAAAAAAUAAAAAAAAAAAACUUGAAAGAAAAAGAAAAAAGCUUUGAGAAAGAAAAAGAAAAGGAAAAGAAGAGAGGGGAGAAGGAGAGGCCGACCAUCGGCGAGCCACCGGAGGAGGCGACGGCAGCAGCGGCAUCGACGGCGGCGUAGAAGACCGAACGGAGAAGAAGAAGAAGAAGAAAAAAAAAGAAAGAAGAGAAAGAAAGAAGGAAGAAGAAGAAGAAAGAAACAAAAAAAAAAGAAAAUAUUUUGUAAUAGUCGGCCCGGCCCGACUCGACCUGCACGACCCGUGACCCGACCCGACAGCACCAGCAACCUAGCAGGCCACGGUAGCAGCCCGGCGGCCCAAAGAGUAGCCCAAAAAGAAAAAAAGAAGAAGAACAAAGCAAAAAAAAAAAGCAGGCCAUUUUCAGCAGGCCCAGUGCAGCCCAGCAGACCCAGCGAACCCAGCAGGCCAGGCCCACACGCAAGCAGCCCAACAGAAAAAAAGGGAAAGAAAAAGAAAAGAAAAAAGAAAAAAGAAAAAAGAAGAAGAAGGGGUUCAAUUUGUAUUAUCCGUUCGGCGAAGCUCGUGUUUUGAGGAUUUUUUUUCGGUAAUUUUAUUUUUUAAUUUUAAUUUAAUGCUCGUAUUUUUUUUAAAUAUUAUUAGUAUUUUAUGCAUUUUUAUAUUUUGGCAUUUAUAUUUUUAAUUUAAUUUACUUCAAUUUUUAUUUUAUUUUAUUUUAAAUAAUUUUAAUAAAUGAGGCAACGAAUCGAUUUAACAUAAAAUCGUUGAUUUCAUUGCUAUGUUGGGUGAAUAUCAUCGGUUUGUGUUAAACACGAUACACCCUUUUUAAAAAAAAGAAAAAAAUCGAAAAAAUUCUAAAAUUCUCAUUUUUUUAAAAUUCUCGUGUUUUAAUAGAAUCACGAUUAAAUAUUAAGUUGAAUCGAUUUGGCACUAAUUCGAUGAUUUCAUCUCCAUGUAGGGAUGAAUAUCAUUUAUUCGUGUUAAAUAUGGUACUUCUGAAAAAAAAUCGGGUUUCAAAAAUUUUCGUGUUUUCAAAAAUUCUCAUGUUUCAAAAAUCUUCGUGUUUUAAAAAUUCCAGUGUUUCAAAAAUUUUCGUGUUUUCAAAAAAAAAUUUCUCGUGUUUUUAAAAAUUCCCGUAUAUCGAAAUUUUCUUGUUUUCAAAAAAAAAAUUCCAUGUUUCAUAAAUUUCCGUGUUUUCAAAAAAAAAUUCUUGUUUUUCAAAAAUUUUCGUUUUUAAAAAAUUUGACCGUGUUUCAUAAAUUUUCGUAUUUCAAAAAAACCUCGUGUUUCAAAAUUUUCGGGUUUUUUUAAAAACAAUUCGUGUUUCUAAAAUUCUCGUAUUUUAAAAAAAAUCGUGUUUUCAAAAAAAGAAAAAGUUGUUGUGCUUUAAAAUUAUCGUGUUUCAAUCGGAUCACGAUUAAUAUUAAAUUGAACUCGUAUUUUUGAAAAUGAAAACAACGCGCGUUUAACGAGAUACCAAUUUUGGGCGUCGCGAGGGUGCUAAUACCUUCCUCGCGCGUAACCGACUCCCGAACCUUAAUUUUCUCUGAAUUUUUACGUGGACCUAAAAUUACCUCUUUUUAGAAAAGUUUAAAAAUGAAUUUUUCUUCUAAAAAGAGAAUUUUGUAGGUGUCCGAUCACACCUAAAAAAAGAUCGGUGGCGACUCCUUUUUUUCAAAUAAAAUCGAGAUUCAGUUUUCAAGUUUUUAAUAAUUACUUCGACAAGCGCCCGUGCGCAAAAUUUUUAAGUCGCUACAGCCUCUACUUGAGACAACAGGGUUUUGCAGGGAAUUCUUACAGGUUCGUUUCUGGCGACAAAAAAGAGCUCUUCACUAUAAGCAUACAAACAAGAGCCAAAACUAUGCCUCUUAGUGAUGAUAUUAGGCCUUAUGUUAUUCCUUUUCAACAUCAAACCGUCAACCGGUAUGGUAUGUUUUUUUUAUUUAAUCUGCAAUUUGUGAUAAUUCUUUGUUAUUUAUGUAUGGAAUUUAUUGGGAGGAAAUGCUGGAAAGAAUUCAUUUACGAGAAUUGGUCCAAGAUCAAGGGUGAACAUUACGGACCCUGAAAAAUAAGAGAAAUACUUAACAAAUUUAAUGACUUCCAGAAGAUACGUACCAAUCCACUGCUUAAUUUGCUUGUAAGCGGCCUUGUUAACCUCGAAGGAGACCGAUGGAGCAAGCAUAGAAAAAUCAUAACCCUUGCAUUUCAUCAAGAUAAGUUGAAGGUAUAGAAUAGUAAUGGGUACUCAAGACUUUAAAGAAAACAUCAUACUUAAGCCUAUGCUUUUCUGAUUUAGAAAUAAUUGGAUGCAGAAUAUGUUGCCAGCAUUUUAUCAAAGUUGUAGUGACAUGUUUAAGCAAAUGGGAGAAGAUGGUGUGUACAGAAGGAUACAUUGAGUUAGAUGUGUCGCCUUAUCUCGUAGAUUUGACAAGAGAUGUUAUUUCCCGAUCUGCUUUUGGAAGCAGCUUCGAAGAAGGCAAACGAAUUUUCCAAUUACUAGAGGACCAACUCGUUCUCACAAUCAAAUUAAUACAAACUGUUUACAUUCCAGGAUGGAGGUAACCGUCUACUUUAAUUUACUUGAAAAAGGUUGCAAAUGUUGGAAUUGGCUAAAUUCGUGUUUGUUUUCUUGAAGGUUUUUGCCCACAAAGACAAACAGGGAGGUGAAGAUGAAACACAAAGACAUAAAAGAGUCGCUCAGGGAAAUGAUAAAAAGAAGAAAGCAGGCAAUUAAAGCAGGGGAAGAGAGUAAUGAGGACUUGUUGGACAUACUUGUGGAAUCCAAUAUCAGAGAAAUGGAAGCAAAGAAUAUGGGGAUGAGCAUUGAGGAUGUGAUUGAGGAAUGCAAGCUGUUUUACUUAGCUGGCCAGGAGACCACUUCGGUCUUACUGGUGUGGACUAUGGUUUUAUUAGCAAGGUAUCCCGAUUGGCAAAGUAAAGCAAGAGAGGAGGUUUUGCAUGUUUUGGGUGACAGUAAACCUGAUGCUGAUGGCCUUAAUCGUCUCAAAGUUGUAAGUCCCUAGCAUGUCUCUUGAAGGCCCGAUCUCUGAGGUCGACAACUCAAAAACUUGGUUCUUUGUUUCGCUAAUUCUACAGUUAACAAUGAUAUUGUACGAGGUUCUAAGGCUGUACCCACCAGUGAUUGAGCUAGGACGUUCCGUUCCAAAAGAAAUAAAACUGGGAAAUUUGUUGUUACCAGCAGGAACAGACGUUUCGGUUCCAAUCCUGCAGAUCCACCAUGACAAAGAUCUUUGGGGCGACGCCGCACGGGAAUUUAAGCCACAGCGGUUCACGGAAGGGGUUUCCUAAGCAACAAAGAGUCAAGUCACGUUUCUGCCAUUCGGAUGGGGUCCUAGGAUCUGCAUUGGCCAAAACUUUGCCAUGAUGGAAGCUAAAAUGGCGAUGGCUAUGAUUCUCCAACGCUUCUGGUUUGAGCUUUCCCCUUCCUAUGCUUACUCUCCUUACAACAUGGCAACUCUUCGUCCACAGCAUGGUGCACAGAUAAUUUUACAUAAACUUGGCUGUAAUUGAAUUGUUAUGUAAGCAAAUCUUUGUGAAAAUAUAGUGUUUUAGUGUAUCGUCAACGUCUGUCUGUAAUGGUACAAUUCCGAUGCAUGAAUAGUAAAUUUUGAGAUGUUUGGUGAAGUCCGAAAUAAUAUGCAGAAAUUGAGUGUCUAUGGUGGACAUAGUUGAGGGACUAAUGUGGUAAUUAUCAAUCAAAUAAUUCGGUACAAAGACUUAUAUGGAAAUUAAAGCAGGGGGAGUUGAAAAUGACUACUCUGCUUUGGGCAUCAAUUUAGAAAGAUUUAAAGUACAAAUGUGUUAUUAGUUAAGGGAUUUGUUUUAAAGAGGGAAUGACAAUUAAACCUCAUGGUUGAUUUGUGGAAGGGAACCAAUGAUGGGAUGAUUACUCUUAGUGGUGAAAAAAAAACUAUUAAGGUGGUUAUUAUAGUUGUUAUCACCAGCCUAAAAUUUGAAUAGGUUCAGGUCGGAUUAUAUUGAGCUUGCAAGAUUAGUUCACGGACCAAACUUGCAUGAUAAUAGGUAUUCACAACAAGAUAUCUAUAGUUUCCAACAAAGUCACAUGUGAGAUCGUGCAUUAGAACCGCAUAAACAUGUUUUAUGUUUAGAAUAUGAUAUGUGUCUAUGUGUAUAGAAUCUACCUAAUAUAUCAUAUUAAUGAAUAGUAUCAAUUGCGGAGCCAAAAAAUUAUUUGUGAGGGGUCAGAAUUAAAUUGUAUAUUUUUACAAAAAUAAAAAUUAAAUUUCACUAUUUUAAUAGUUUAUUUAUUUUUAAUUUUUAAAUGAUUAAAUUAAAUUUUAUAAAUUUUUAGGAUCAAAGUAUAAUUUUAUCAUUACUAAUUUAAAAUUUUAUAAAUUAUAAAAAGUUUAUAUGAAAAGUUUUCUAUUUUAGGGUGGCCAAAGCCCCUGUCAACUUCUGACUCGAUCACUUGCGGUUAGUUGGGUAAAGACUCAAGAAAAAUAGCGGUGUGUUUGGAUGGACGGUGCGUUUACUUGCGGUUAGUGUAAAAAUAGCGGUGGCGGUGAGAUUAGAUACUAUAGCAACACUGUAGCGUGAGACAAAAAGUAAGUUAAACGCACUGCACUGCACUUAAUCGUCUAUCUAAACUCACCAUAAGUGUCUAAAAUAUGAUUUAAGUGAAGAUACGUGGGGUAGGUGUCAUGGAAAUGUAAAAAAAAAAAAGAAUCCUACUAAUGUAUGGGAUGUGUACAAUUGAAUGCAGGAGUGAAUCAUUUGGGUAACAUUUGGACAAGAAACAUAAUGAACAAAAUGAAAGGAGAGGAAGCUAGUAAUAAAAGAUUCUUUUGGGUUAUAUAAUUUGUUUGGCAUAUAUUUUUAUAAUAUUUAAAUAUCAUUUUGGAGUUGUUGAAUUAUAAUUUAUUUUUAUGUUUUAAAACAUAAUUAUUCUAUUUUUAGAGGUCAGAGUAGAGGUGAGCAUGAGUCGGGCUACUCGGCUCGGGCUGAAGGCUUGCGCAAAAUGUGAGAGAUUUGGGUAAAAAUAUAGGCCCGAAAAAUGAGUUUAGACAAAAAAAAAUAUAAGGCCCGUUGAAAAAACAGGCUAGGCCUUGGGUAAGGCAUUUUGGCCCCAGACCCGGCCCAACCCAAAUUCACUAAGGGCACGUUUGGUUCGCUGUAUUGGAAUAGAGGCGUAAUGUAAUAGAGGCGUAAUGGAAUAGAGACGUAAUAGCAAAUCAAUUGUUUGGUUGAAUGUAAUGGAAUAGAGGCGUAAUAGUAUUCUUAUAUUUGGUUGAAUGGAAUAGAGUUGUAAUAGCAUAAGGAAAAAAGUUAAAAUGACUAGAAUACCCUUAGCAGAAAUUUGUUUAGAUAAAUGAUUAUUGUUAUUGUUAUUAAAUUUUAAUAAGAUUAUUAAUAUCAGUAAUAAAUAAUUUAAUCAUAUUUUAACAUAAUUAUUAUUAAAUAUAAUUUAAUAAAAAUAUAUAAUUUAAUAAAAUUCUUAAUAUUAAAUAUUCUUAAUAUUAAAUUACUAAAAUCAUAAUAUAUAAUACUAUAAAAUAUAAUUUAACAUAAUUAUUAUUAAAUAUAAUUUAAUAAAAUUCUCAAUAUUAAAUAUAUUCUUAUAUGAAUUUACUAAAAUCAUAAUAUAUAAUACUAUAAAAUAUAAUUUAAAAUAAUUAUUAUUAAAUAUAAUUUAAUAAAAAUAUAUAAUUUAAUCUAAAGUUUGAAUGUGUAUUUACCUAGCAAAAAUCAAUGAACUCUCGUGUAACUAUAACCUUAAUAAUAUAUGAUGUAUAAUUAAUAUUUCGUGACUAAUUAAUAGCAUAGAGAUAAAUAUAGUAAUGACGAAUUUAUAGUAUACGAUUAAAAUGCUAAUAAUUUAUAGUAUACAAUUAAAAUAUUAUAAAUAAAAUAAUAGUAAAUGAUAUAUAAGAUAAAUUAACAUAUAAAUAAUUCAGAUAUGUAAAGGAUAUGGCUGAAUAUGGUUGCUCCAAUAAUAAAGGAUAUAUAAUAUAUCAUGGUGUUGUUUUGUUUAGAUAGUUCGGUAACUUAGGAGGGUAUGUAUGAAGAACACAAGUUGAUGCAGAUAGAAAGACGACAAUAUUACAUGAUUACAAUAUGAUAUAGUAUAUAUAUAUAAUUUAUGGAUUCCUUGCAAUCACGUGGGUUCUCUAGCCAUUUUAUUUAGCAUAUCCAGUGAUAUUAAGAUCCAGAAUUAUAAUACAACUAAAAUCUGUGCACACUUAUGGAUGAUCCAACAAAGCCUCAGUUGGCUUUAGGUUCCAAAUCUUGCAACCCACAAACCAUAUUUGCUGGCACUGCAACAUCAAUCAUCUUAGGAUAUGCCAAGUUAAGAUCUGUUGCACCAACAAAAACAGAGGAGAAAUUGGAAGGCGAUCCGAAAAAACCCAAGGAUGCUUUUUCUUUUCUUUUUUUUUUAUAAUCUUUAUAGACUGGUUAUAUUGAGCAUCAACUUACUUUCCAUGAUGUUUUUGAAAGUCUCUUACAAAAAGGGUAUUCAACAAAUAAUAUAAUCAGACAUAUUGAUAGGACAAAUUGAAACUAGUAUUCUAUGAUCAUAAUAAAGAGUAAUCUUUAAUCAAAUGCGUGAAGGUAUUGAGAUGUCAUGCUUUUUCAUGAUUUCCUGUUUUACCAUGGCGAUGUUCAUUGGAAUAGUCCCAUCCAAGAGAAUCAAACCAAUGCUCAGCAAGAAAUGUUCAAUGCAUAUGUAAUUUUAAUUACAGAAGUUAUAUGCAGCUUAUAUGAGUUCAAGAUCAUAAAAUACUUCAUGGACAAAAGGAAACCCUUUCUUAUCACUGAAAUGAAAAUAGGCACUCUUAAUUUUCUAUUGUCAAAAGUAGCAAGCCAUUUUCCAAAGAAAAGGGAAGAUGGAUGGUUCCAGAAAGAAUACCUCAUCCUUUGUCAAGUGUGGAUUAUAUAGCAUCUCCUCUCCCACAGUGGUUACCUAUAAUCAAUGAGGUUUAUAAAAUCGAGCAAUCAUUUAUAUAUGUAAGAAAUGAUAGGAAUAAAGUUUUAUAUCUUACUGAGAAUCCUUUGUAGUCAUGAGCUGGAUAUAGCAAUGUCUCUUUCGGUAAUGUAAAAAUCUGGAUCCAUGAAACAAAUAAGUCCAUAAAUUUUAUUCAAAUUUUGACAAUUACAAUAAAAUUUUGAGAACUCAAAGAAUGUGACCAUAAAAAGUCCCCUGUCCUUACCUGUGAAUGCACUGACUUGUAGAGUUGCUGUGAACUUCCACCCUGCAAAAUGCAUUAAUCAGUGCUAGUCAAUGGCUACUGAAUGUGGGAGCAUUAGAGAAAAUUAUCUUAAAAACUUAAGUAUAACAAAAUUAGACAAUGACAUCCAGAUGGAAAGAAAUUGCCAGCAUAUAAGACCAGCAUUUAUGUACUCACGACUGAAAAUCCUUUGCAAAAAGUAUAGCCCUGAUAGUUCAAACUUUUACUUCAAGGAUGAUUUAAUUACUGAUUAGUUUGCCAUGAGGCUUGUGAAUGACAAACACUUUAUGUGCAACCACAGUAACAAGGUAAGCACCAAUAAGUAGAAGACUAGACGAAUAGGUAACCAAGAGUUAGAGCUAAAACAGACAAACAGAGCUACUAUCCAAUGAGCUAAAACAUACAAACAGAGGUAUAUUUUAAUAAUGAAAAUAAUCGAUUGCCUUAAACACCAUAUAGUGUUCCAAUCAAUCAAAUUAUAGCAGGCAUUAAAACCUUUCCCUUUCGUUAAUUCACAACUAUUAGCUUCAUUAAUCAAAUCCUAUGUACAGUUGAUCGAUUGAAAGUGUAACAUUUCAAAGACGAAAUUUAAACGCAAAACUGGUUAACAUUGAAAUUACAUGUAAAUAUAACCUAAAAAAUCAAAAAAUUAAUCAUAUUUUCAGAUUUCAGGCCGAAAUGGAAUGAAAUGAAAGGUAAAUCCAUUUUUUCCCCAAAAAAACAAAAAUAAAGAAAUAAUAUUUCAAGAACAGAUCAUUAAAUUCAUGGUAUAUAUAAAGAAAUUUAAUUGAAAUCAAAGGAAUAGAAGAAGGGAAAAGCGUACUUGGAACCAUUGCUGCUACUCUCUGUUACUCUGUUACCUCAUACGAUUCGUUAAAGGGUUGUUAGGGUUUGUUAAAAGGUUGGUCAGGAUAGAAGCAUGAAAAGGAGGGAGAAGGUUGGAAGGAAAUGGGAAGAAAAAUGAAAAAAAGAAGAAGAUGCUGCAACGGCUUGGAGGGUAAAAGAGGACCGAUUAGGUAAUCCUUUCUUUUGGAAGGGAUUACAAAUCGGCGCUGCAUAAGGGAAAAUGGGGAAUCAGUGCGCUGCGUAAUAGGCCCGUAUUAAGGCAAUACAGCCAACCAAACAUGGUAAUCAGUGGGGCCACGAAUUAGGGGUGUAUUGGCUAAUCCAAUACACCCAACCAAACAUGCUCUAAAGGACAAAAAAAUUUGAUUUUUUAAAUAUUAUUUUCUCUCUAUUUUGCUAUCAUUUUACUAUUAUGUUGCUACUAUGUUAUUGUUAUUUUUGAAUAUUGUAUAAAACUUAUUUUAUUGUUAAUUUUGUUAUUAUUUUAAAGACAUUUGUUAAUUUUGUUAUUAUUUUAGAGACAUUUGUUUGUUAAGUUGCAUCUAUCUUAGUGUUAUUUAAGUAUACAUAUUUUUUAAAAUUUAUUUUCAAUUUAUUGGGAAAUAUUUAUUUUGAUGUUUUUAGUAUUUUGGAUGUAUUAUAUAUAUUAAAAUUAUAUAAAAAUUAAUAUGGCCGAGCCAGGUCAGGCCCAGAUUUUAGCAUUUUUAUUCAGGUCGGGCUUGAGCAAAAUUUUAAGCCCAUUUUUUGGGCCAAACCAGGCCUGGGCUUAGCAAAUGGGCCUAAAUUUUUAGUCAAGCUCGACCUAAACCCGAUCCGGCCCAUGCUCACCUCUAGAUCAGAGCUGCCCUCGCUUUGCAUUUCUUUGAGAUUCAGUCUUAUCUACUGUUGAUUGCCCACUCAAUGGAGGGUUGAGUAGAAAGAUUUGGUGAAGCAAGCUAAGCUAUCAAUCAAGGUUGGAGAAAGCUUAGGAGGUCACAAUGCAUAAUUAUUUAAAUGUAAUUCUAAUAUUUAAAUAAAAUUUAUUAAUAUAGUAUUAACAAGCCCUAAAUGUAAUGAUUAUAUACUAUUACAUUUUUAAGAAGAGAAAACAUGUUUGAACCUUAAAAACAUCAUUAUUAAAAAUGAUAAUUACAAAUUUUAAAAUAUAAAAAAUAUAAUUAAAAAUUAAUUUUAAACCCGAGCUGGAUAAAAUUCUAAUUUUAGAUAACGAUACUAAUAAGAAAUCAAUAUUAAAAUGAAAAUGAAAAGUAAUUUAAUAUAAUUUUUGAGUCUUGGGCAAAGGCACUCAAUGAAUGCUUGGAAAGAAAUAAUGCAACUUGGUGAUAGCUUUUGUUGGAGUAAUAUGCUCUUAUUAUAGUUUUAUGUUUUUAUCUUGCAAAAACAACAUAUUGGAGUUUUCGGCAUGAUUUUUUCUUAAUACUUUACAUGAAAAAUAAUAAUGGGACUUAAAUUGCUACAAUAUUACAACACAAAGUUACAAUAAGAGCUUAUAACUCAACAAAGGCUAUCAAUAAAUAAUCUCAGGCAAGCUAAAGAGAAAUGUUGAGAAUACCACCCGAAUAGUGACUGACUUUAAAAGUUGAAAACCCGAAGCUAUAUUAUCUCAAACGAAAUCAAACCAUAAACAUUAAAAUUUUCAAGUCUACUAGUUACUGUAAAAAAUUCAGCUCCAACAGACACCAAAUGAGCCUUUGAUCGAAGAAAGUACGAAAAAUAGUCUAGGUAAACCAAGCUUCCAAACUUACUUAUCUUAUCUUUAAUUUGCAGUGAAAUUCAAAAUUAAGAUUUUGUUUAUUUCACUUGGAACAACUUUCAAAAAAUUAUUUUUGAAAAAUGAAUUGGUUUUUCGAAAUAGAUGAUAUUUUAUUGUGUCAAAAUUUUAUUCAUUGUAGGAAAACUUUUUUUAAAUCAUUUUCUUAGAGUUAUUUUUAGUUAAAUAAACAUAACAUAAAUAUAUUUGUUACAAAAAAUUAUACUAGUAUUUUCUUUUGACAAUUAAAAUUUAUUUUAUGGUAAGACAAUAUUUUAUAAUAAUUAAUAUCAUAUAUAUACGUAAUAAAAAUCAUGUUUAAUUAAAAUUUAAUUAAAAUUAGAUGUAUUAAUAAAGCUACUCCUCCACAACCCGCAUCCGCAACAGCACCAGCACCAGCACCAGCACCAGCAUCAGCACCAUGGGACAACUAUUGGGUUUCCUCCACCUGCCUCUAUCGCUCCUCCUCAGUAUUACCCCCAAGCCUACCAGACCGUGCCGGGUAUUCUACAAAUAUGAAAAAACCUUCUUCUCUUUUUAUUAGCUUAUCGAAAUGAAGGAUUUUGAGAUUUGGGCUUUUGUUAGAUGGAUGGUUAAUGAUAUUUUUUAGAUGAAAGAUACAAGUUUUUUAAUGUUUUAGAAGAAAAGGUGUUUAAAUAUUAGGAGUUUUUUAGCAGAGAAAGAAGAUAAAUAAAUGCAUAGAGAUACAUUAGCAAUAUUAUUUGGAUUUGGUUGUCUAAUGUAAUGAAGAAUUUUUUAAGGGUGACCUGAGUAGGUGUGGCAAGAUUCAAAGUUUUUUCUAUUAUAGCAGAUAUAUAUAUAUUAAUGGUUUAAGAAGACUAGAAGUCGGUUUCAAAGGAAGAUGAGAAAUAAAAGCAUUUAUAUAUAUGAUAUGUCAUUAAUUCAUAAACCAAAUAUAUAAAGUAUGUAAAAGUGUCAGGGGUUAAUCAUGGUGUUUUGACAAUCCGGUAACCUUCAACUUGAAGAAAACCUUAGGUUUCAAAAAUUUAUGUGAAGAGUUAGAAUGGUAUGCUUCAUGGAUCUGAAUAACUAGAACAGUGUAAGAGUGGUAUAUUGUGUCAAGUUUGGUUUCUUGUAUAUAAUUGUAUCGAAAACAAUGUUACAUGAGUUAAAAUGAAUGUUCAUCCAAUUUAACAAAGCCUGCAUUAUGUUGAUCAAAAUUUUUAAUUCAUGUUGAGGUUUCUUCCGUGAUAUCUUUGAUGUCAAGGUUAUGAUGUUGCUGAAGGGACACCUGUAAGAGAUAAGCCACCGUGCUGUGGCAUUGGAUUCGGAUGGUUCUUGUAAGUGUACAUAGUUUUCUUUGUUUUUAAAGAGUUCUUUACAUAUGAAGUAAAACAAGUAGCGACUUGAUGGAUAUGUCAUUAAGCUUUAACUUAAGCAAAUCAUUUUCCUUCAUCUCUAAUUGCCAUUUCUUUAAAAGAAAAAGAGGAAGUUUUGUAGUUUACAGUUUGGACAAAUGGAAGUUAAUAUAAUGCACUAUUUGGAUGGACUAUGGAGAUAUCCAAUCAUAUUGGAUGAGUUAUAAGAAACCUGUGAGUUCAUAUUGGGUUUACUUUAUAUCAUAAUUAGAUUGUUGAGCUGGCUGUCAUACUUAGAUGGUAUUUCACGUUGCUACUUGUUAAACUAUACCACUUUCACAUUCAUACGUGAAAUGGCUGGGAUUUAGUGCCAUUCUACUUAGCAGCCUCGUGUAAUACACAGGUGAAAUGUUUAUGUCUUCAUGUCACCUUAAAGUUCCCAUUUCCAUGACGGUAUUGUUAAGUAAAGACUGGUACAUACCCCAAAAUACGGAAAUUGUUUUGGAUGUAUACUAUACUUUACCAUGCAUGAUUUUUUACAAGUUUGCAUGGUAUUUUAUCAUUAUAUUGGUCUUUAUUUUCUAUACUCGCAGCUUCCAUUAAUAUAUUUUUAUGAAUUUUAUCAUUAUGCUGGUUUGAAGGUUCAUCAUUGGUUUCUUCAUUGGGGGCCAUCCCUGGUAUAUUGGAUUCUUUGUUUUACUUUGUGCAAGGAUAGACGACAGAGAGAAAGCAGGAUAUAUUGCAUGCACAAUUGCCGUGAGUAUCUUUUCUAUCAUUAUUUUUUUCUUUUCCAAUUUUAUGAAAGCCAUCCUUCCUGCCUUGUAUUGAUCAUCAAUUUAACCAUUAUAUAUAUGUAUCUUAUGUAUUUGUACCAUGCUUUAUCUUCAAUGCAAAUAUAAGUUAAACUACAAAGAUUGGAUUGUUAAAAAAAGUUUAAAAUGUUAAAAAAAUUGAAAAUUUUGAUUUUGUAAGAAUGAUAGAAAACCAAGGCCAGUGCUUGCAUAUGUUAUCUACUACAUGCACAAUCGGGUCGAUGUCUGUAUAUGUUUCAUGUUUAGAAAUCGUGUUCAAUUGGGUUACGAUAUGUACAAUUGAAGUGUCAAUUUAUAAUUUCCUUAUCAAGAUUACACAUUUUUUUGUUAAUAUUCGGAAUCACUCAAUGGUUAUAAACCCUGAUUGGAUACUGUCCACAAAGUCUAGUUGGAACAUCCCUUGUAUUCUUUGUCCUUUCUAAGAACUUUCCUUUCCAUCAUUCUCGCUUCUGUUUUUUUUUUCUUCCCUCUACUUUAAGUCAUUAUCUAACGUAGAUAUCCCUUGUAUUCUUUGUCCUUUCUAUGGCAAUCGAGUCAAUUGAUGGCAAGCCAAAAAAACAAAAAGAGCAGCUAUCCUGUCUUACUCGAUUGCCAUCCCUCCUGUUAAACACCAUUAAGAAAAGGAAAAUUUUAGUUAAGCUUUAAAACAGCCAUGUUUUAACGAUGUUGGUGAUGGUGCUUGUGCAGGCCCUUCUUGCUACAAUUACAAUUAUUCUUAGUGCAACAAUUAAAGCUGGUGGGUGAUAAAGCACACCUCUUUUGACUGAGAGAUGUAUAGGUUCCCAAAUAAUAUGUAUAUGCUCCCCCCCCUCCCUUUAUUUUAUUUUAUUUCCAGUAAGUUAUUGUUUAUGAUAAUUUGCAACAAAUGUUUUUGUCAUUAUUUUGUUGGUGAAUGAUAAUAAGAUUAAGCUUUACUUUCUUAAGCUCCAAUUCCUUGGACGUUGGUGAUUUUUUUAUUAUAGUUGAGUCAUUGUAUGGUAUUAAUAUAAUUUAUGUCGCUUAAAAUUUAUAACUAAAAAUAUAAAAUUUAAAUUUUACUUCAAUUUAUUUGUAUUUAUAAAUGGUUAAUUCAAACUUAUUUUUUUCCUCAUUAUAUUUUAUAUUUAAAUUAACAUUUAAACUAUUUUUCAUUAGCAAUGUUGUUAAGAAUUAUAUUUUUUAGCACCAACAUCAAACUUACUAAAAUUAAAUUUUUAACUAUUUAAAAAAAAUAUUUUUAGCUAUUUAUCAUCAUAGAGAAAAAAAGGUGACGUCACCACGCCUCAUGCUUCGACACCACAAACUAGACUCUCAUCACCCGUAUUUAUCAUCGAUUCAAAUUCCAGAACUACCUAAAAAUAUAUCUUCAAACUUCCUCUGGUUAAGUUCAUUGAUAGUCAACUUACUAUCAUUUCUAAAAAAAAAACAAAUAAAUUGGUUAAUAGUAAUCUCAAUGAUUCAAUUUUAUUCUUACCAGUAUCUGUCCUUUAGAAAGGGGCUUAUAAAAGGGGUAGAGGUGAGUAAACUUGAGCUUCAGCUUUCCACAAACACCUUAAUUUGAAGACACAGUUCUCUCAUACUAAAAAAGACAUGGAAGUUUACCUUGUAAUUAGAGAUUUGGUUUCAUUGCUUGUUGUUGGGUUAUUAAUGAUAUGGGGAUGCAGAACUUUAAACUGGGUAUGGCUGGCCCCAAAAAGGCUCGAAAGCUGCUUGAGACAACAGGGUUUUGCAGGGAAUCCUUACAGGUUCCUUUCUGGUGACAUAAAAGAGCUCUCAACUAUGAGCAGACAAACAAGAGCCAAACCUAUGCCUCUUAGUGAUGAUAUUGGGCCUUAUGUUGUUCCUUUUCAACAUCAAACUGCUAACCAGUAUGGUAUGUUUUUUUUGUUUAAUCUGCAAUUUAUGAUAAUUCUUUGUUAUUUAUGUAUGGAAUUUAUUGGGAGGAAAUGCAGGAAAGAAUUCAUUUACGUGGUUUGGUCCAAGACCAAGGGUGAACAUUACGGACCCUGAAAAAAUAAGAGAAAUACUUAACAAAUUUAAUGACUUCCAGAAGAUACAUACCAAUCCACUGCUUAAUUUGCUUGUAAGCGGCCUUGCUAACCUCGACGGAGACCGAUGGAGCAAGCGUAGAAAAAUCAUAAACCCUGCAUUUCAUCAAGAUAAGUUGAAGGUAUAGAAUAGUGAUGGGUAAUCAGACUUUACAGAAAACAUCAUACUUAAACCUAUGCUUUUCUGAUUUAGAAAUAAUUGGAUGCAGAAUAUGUUGCCAGCAUUUUAUCAAAGUUGUAGUGACAUGUUAAGCAAAUGGGAGAAGAUGGUGUGUACAAAAGGAUACAGUGAGUUAGAUGUGUGGCCUUAUCUCGUAGAUUUGACAAGAGAUGUGAUUUCCCGAUCUGCUUUUGGAAGCAGCUUCGAAGAAGGCAAACGAAUUUUCCAAUUACUAGAGGACCAACUCGUUCACAUAAUCAAAUUAAUACAAACUGUUUACAUUCCAGGAUGGAGGUAACCGUCAACUUAAUUUACUUGAAAAAGGUUGCAAAUGUUGGAAUUCGCUAAAUUCGUGUUUGUUUUCUUGAAGGUUUUUGCCAACGAAGACAAACAGGGAGAUGAAGAUGAAACACAGGGACAUAAAAGAGUUGCUUAUGGAAAUGAUAAAGAGAAGGGAGAAGGCAAUUAAAGCAGGGGAAGAGAGCAAUGAGGACUUGUUGGACAUACUUGUGGAAUCCAAUAUCAGAGAAAUGGAAGCAAAGAAUAUUGGGAUGAGCAUUGAGGAUGUGAUUGAGGAAUGCAAGCUGUUUUACUUAGCUGGCCAAGAGACCACUUCGGUCUUACUGGUGUGGACUAUGGUUUUAUUAGCAAGGUAUCCCGAUUGGCAAAGUAAAGCAAGAGAGGAGGUUUUGCAUGUUUUGGGU
rnacentral:lncRNA from 1 species